CGAACUCCUGACCUCAAGUGAUCCACCUGCCUCAGCCUCCUAAAGCACUGGGAUUGCAGGUGUGAGCUACCGCCCCUGGCCAUGAAGUUGCCUCUUCUAGGUGACUUUUUUCUCAUACUAAGCUGUAGGAUGUUGCUGGGAAGAACUUGAUAUAGACUAAUGGCCUUUCUCCCCAUUUGGAUAUCCCAGCUCACAGCACUCCUUCACCACUAUUACCCAAUUGAGAUCGACCCACACCGGACCGUCAAGGAGAAGCUACCUCAUAUGGUGGAAUGGUGGACCAAAGCGCACAAUCUCCUAUGUCAGCAGAAGAUUCAGAAGUUUCAGAUAGCCCAGGUGGUUAGAGAGUCCAAUGCAAUGCUCAGGGAGGGAUACAAGACCUUCUUCAACACACUCUACCAUAACAACAUUCCCCUUUUCAUCUUUUCUGCGGGCAUUGGUGAUAUCCUGGAAGAAAUUAUCAGACAGAUGAAAGUGUUCCACCCCAACAUCCACAUCGUGUCUAACUACAUG
rnacentral:sRNA from 1 species